rnacentral:lncRNA from 1 species
AAGCAUAAAGCACGUAUUACAUUGCAGGAUUGGACCAUAUAUACUCUAUUCCAAUCGAUUCCGGAUUGGACCCAGUAAGCAAAGAUUUUGGCAUCCUGUCUCAGUCUUACAUUGCAGUAUUGCACUACUAAAUUUCACCUCGACAACUGCCUCGACUGAAGAAGCAUCAAUUGUGCAAACGCCUAAUUCCAUUACUAGGGUAUAAGGUGAACAAUACUGUGGUCAGGCAAUCAGCCUCGCAGCCAGAGCCCAAUCAACUGAAAUCGAGACAAUGACAGGACUUGACAUGUAAAAUGUUUGAAACAUGAUUAGGUCCAUGCCCUGUUUGGAACACCUGAAUUCGCAUAGGAUUUCUGCGGGAAUAUAAGUGAAAUUGUUAUUUUCCAAUGCUGCCUCGUCGCUGCAUUUUUGUGCUCCAGUCUUUUCCCAGGUCACUUGCACAAAUUGCAAUGGCAUCCACACUGCAGCUGCAGAUUACUCCUACCCCUGCUCAUAUUUUGGAAGAAAAUGCAUGUUUCUGAUCAGCAGGGCUAACUCUUAAUGCCUUGUGGGAGCCGGAGGAUAAACUGUACUACAGUCAUGUCUAUCGGCUGCGGUCGGCUGUCGGUACGGUAAUGAAGUCCACCCAGAAAAAAAAAUUGAAAAAAAGCGAAAAAAAAUCAUGAGCAUGCUUCGUAAUAAUGUUACUCGGGCGUACUAAAUUCGCUGUUGACGCUCCCGUUCUAAUAUUGAGUGUGUGCGUGCGUGCUACUACUAGUUUUCUCAACUUUCCAUGCAUGUAUUAUCAGAGUGUGAUGCUUGAGAAAUUUAGCGUGUGUACUGUAAUAAUAAAUUUAUUAUUUUAAUUACUAUUCAGAGGGCUUCCUAAAAGAACAUUUCGCAUUUGCCUUAUGUUGGCUAGGGCCCGUUGGAAGGGCUAAGUGGCCAUUGCAUUUGCAUUGGCAUGGGCUUGAUUGAAAUUUCAGUUGGUCCGUGUUCUGUUUUCCGUGGAAAACUCAAGUCAACCCUCGAUACAUUUCAUCAUUUUUCCCUAGAGUCCAAAAGGAAUGUCACUAUAAGGCAAUGCCGUCACAUACGCCAUCAUUUUCCCCAGUCCUGACGUGCUAGGGCAAUUGCGAAAAUGACUAGAAGCAGAUUAAGUCUGCUUCUAGUCGCGUACUCACGUCGUCAUGUGGUGUCGACGACAGCUAUUUACAACGCUUGGUGUUUGCUUACGAUUCUUCAUAACAUGCUCGAACAAAAGUCUCCCAUUCAUGCAUACACGUGUAAUUCUGCAUUACUGAAAAUCAGCAAAGAAAAUGCCUCGUCGCAUAAAUCUCUCCAGCUUGUGCUAUAAUCAUAUUCGGAAACUAUUCCACACUCCUGCUACAUCCUUGUAUAUGUUAUUUUAUCAUGAUGGGUGUCCUCAUGAGGUUGUUCUUUUUUUUGGAUAAACAGGUGGCCCUGUUCAUUUUCCCACUAAGCGGAUUGCCACUGGGAGAGGCAGUUGGACGUGCGCCAAAGGCUGCUUAUCCUCUGCUUCCUUCAGCAAGACAAGAUAUCGGUCUGU